UUAUGGCUCAGGAUGAACGCUGGCGGCAGGCUUAAUACAUGCAAGUCGAACGGUAAGGCCGAGUGCAGCAAUGCAUGAGGUACACGAGUGGCGCACGGGUGCGUAACGCGUAUGCAACCUGCCCCCCAACCGGGACAAAAACAGCUGGAAACGGCUGCUAAUAUCCCAUAGCCACGCGGGAGGGCAUCCUCCUGUGUGUAAAGAUUCAUUGGUUGGGGAUGGGCAUGCGUAUUAUUAGGUAGUUGGCGGGGUAACGGCCCACCAAGCCGACGAUGAUUAGGGGUCCUGAGAGGGUUAACCCCCACACUGGAACUGAGACACGGUCCAGACUCCUACGGGAGGCAGCAGUAGGGAAUAUUGGGCAAUGGGAGCAAUCCUGACCCAGCCAUGCCCGCGUGAAGGAAGACGGCCCUAUGGGUUGUAAACUUCUUUGCCGCAGAGUAAACCCGGGGACGUGUCCCCGGUUGAGAGUAUGCGGCGAAUAAGUAUCGGCUAACUCCGUGCCAGCAGCCGC
rnacentral:rRNA from 1 species